UAAUGCAAGAGCACCUAGUGAGUGGAGAAGCCCACCAAUUUAGCUUAGGGUUUACUCAUUUUAAUUCAAUCAUCACUUUCCUCUCAAGAACCCUAAGGAAGCCACCAUUGGAGAAAAGCUUGACUAGUAGCUUUGACUUCAUUUUUGGUGCCCUUUCACUCACCUUCGAACUUUGAACUUGGAAUACUUUUUGUUCCCCUCAUCCUCCUCUUCAAAACCCUUGAAGGAUCUAGCCUAACUCCUAGUUUUACUUUGGUAUCUAGAGAUUCAAUUCUCUAGUGAGACCGAAAAUUUGGGGCGAUUUCAUUUCGGUGGUAAUUGGGAUUUUCAUUCCAAUUGAGGUAUGAAGACUUGGUUUGUGAUGCUCAUCAUACUUUGGAUGACUUGUAGCUUUUAAGUUUCCAUUUCAUGCAAAUGUUAGCAUAAAAUGUCAUUUUGUAGCCUUAUAUAUCUAAACUUGUAUCUUUGAUUCCAUAUAUGUAAUGUGUACAUAAGUACACCUUUUACGAUGUAUUCGACUUGUGUGAGGUGAGGCCAAAGGC